AUUGAACGCUGGCGGCAUGCUUUACACAUGCAAGUCGAACGGUAACAGGCCGCAAGGUGCUGACGAGUGGCGAACGGGUGAGUAAUGCAUCGGAACGUGCCCAGUCGUGGGGGAUAACUGCUCGAAAGAGCAGCUAAUACCGCAUACGAUCUAUGGAUGAAAGCGGGGGACCGUAAGGCCUCGCGCGAUUGGAGCGGCCGAUGUCAGAUUAGGUAGUUGGUGGGGUAAAGGCUCACCAAGCCAACGAUCUGUAGCUGGUCUGAGAGGACGACCAGCCACACUGGGACUGAGACACGGCCCAGACUCCUACGGGAGGCAGCAGUGGGGAAUAUUGGACAAUGGGGGCAACCCUGAUCCAGCCAUGCCGCGUGGGUGAAGAAGGCCUUCGGGUUGUAAAGCCCUUUUGUUCGGGAAGAAAAGCCGCCGGUUAAUACCCGGUGGUGCUGACGGUACCGAAAGAAUAAGCACCGGCUAACUUCGUGCCAGCCGCCGCGGUAAAAC
rnacentral:rRNA from 1 species